rnacentral:rRNA from 1 species
AACUACGGCCAUACCACCCUGAAUGCGCCCGAUCUUGUCUGAUCUCAGAAGCUAAGCAGGGUUGGGCCUGGUUAGUACUUGGAUGGGAGUCAUUUCUU